rnacentral:rRNA from 1 species
UACGUAGGGGGCUAGCGUUGUCCGGAUUUAUUGGGCGUAAAGAGCGUGUAGGCGGCCAGGUAGGUCCGGUGUGAAAACUCGAGGCUUAACCUCGAGAUGUCAUCGGAAACCAUCUGGCUAGAGUCCGGAAGAGGAAAGUGGAAUUCCUGGUGUAGCGGUGAAAUGCGCAGAUAUCAGGAAGAACACCAAUGGCGAAAGCAGCUUUCUGGGGCGGUACUGACGCUGAGACGCGAAAGCGUGGGGAGCGAACAGG